GCCGCCUGCCGAACUGACCCGGGUCUGGGGACUGGCCCCUCUGGCGCCGUUCGGUUUCUCUUAUUGCCUUCACUGAGGAUGAGUCCCUUUGUGGCUCUAUGUGGACCCUGCGGAAUCCACCGGCGCAGUUUCAUCUAGCGACUGGUCACCCUUGCAAUUAUGGAUAUUUAAAAGGGUCAGACAGUGUGGAGGGGGAGUUCCCCUCCUCACUCCCCCUUGGUGCUUGACUCCAGGAAUAAUUUAUAAACUGUGGAAUUUUUUUAAAUGAAGAACUUGUAUUUGAUAUGAACUUUAUAGAGCUAUUUAUAAUUUUUUUGAUUUAA
rnacentral:lncRNA from 1 species